rnacentral:lncRNA from 1 species
UGUCUAAUGUUUCUGCCUAGACAACAUCCUUUCAGCUUUCGCAUCAUUUACAAUUAAGCUGUAACAAAACAAAAUACAACAGCACUCACUCAGUGCCACAUUCGCAACUCUUACUUAAGAAAAAGUAAAAAAGAAUAAAGGAAAGUCACAAGUGUGUUCCUCUUACUAAGAAAAACAGGGAUGGAUGUGUUCUGGCUUUUACUAUGUUCAGCAUACCAGAUGGUCAGAAGGCCUCUAUCUCUUUUGAACAGUAGUGAUCUUAGCUCUGUCUUCACCUCUUGAAAAAAUACGAGUGCAAAAGCAUGACGGAUAAGUUCAAAAGAUGAAGGUGCCAAAUUUACAACGCCAAAGGAUGUCUGAAACAGAAUUUAAGUUUGUAUCAUGGAACCACAAAAUAUUUCAGGUUGGAAGGGAUCCCUGCAGGUCAUCUAGUCCAAUUCCCUGCUCAAAGCAGGUCCAUUGCCAAUAGUCUAUCAGGUCACUUGAUCAGGUUUGCCCUUGCUCUGAGAGCACUUUCUUGGGACUGAGGCUUUGGCAGCCAUGAUGUUUUUGCCAGCUGAAGCCAUUCCUACUUCAUGUCCAAUCCAGCUUCUUGCACUGCCCUCCCAGCACAAACAUUUGUAUAGUCUCCUAAGGAAGUGAUUCAGCUGAAAUAUAAUCUGGACCUCCAAUAUAAUAAUCUUUUUUUAGCUGGAACAAUUCCCCAGUCCAAUUUAUUCAGCAGUUCUACUCACAACUGUGCUAGCAUGGUGGGGUGAGAGCCAGACAAGGACAAGCAGCCGAGUGGAGGAAAGGAAAGGAGGAGGAAGGAGGGAGGGAGGAAAAUGCCUGCCUAAGCCAGAGCUGCAGAUUAAUGAAUUCUAUGCCAAGCCCAACCCUCAGAGAAGCAAGAAUCAGCUCCUGGACCAGCCCCUUCACAACUACAAUUUCCUCUUCUAUACAAGGGGAACUUCUGUACGAGGACUUAACAGAGUAUACAGAUAUAGAUGAAAGGCAUGCAGUUUUCCUGCAGCAUUUACCCCCAACUGUGGUGGUGAAUCACAUUAUAUGAAGAAGGUAAUCAGACCAUAAAAUCUGUAAGUAUUCCUACCCAGUGUGAUUAACAGAGGAAAAGAAUUGCAGUUGUUCAUGUCUGCUAUAUACCUUUUUCCAGAUGCUCAGAAAGAAUGGUAAUUACAUUUUGUUGUCUCAUUUUAAAAAGAUAAAUAAGAAUAUUGCUUGUCAAGCUUCAAGAGUAGAUCAACCAGCCUUUCAUUCUCAGGAGAACUCCAAAAUAUCAUUAUUCAAAGGGCAGAGAACACACCUAGCAGUAUGUGCUGCACAGCUCCUGGUACGCUAGAAGUAUAAUGAAUAAAUGAUCAUAACAAUAAAGCUGUCUUGCA